GACGUAGGGCGCGAGCGUUGUCCGGAUUUAUUGGGCGUAAAGAGCUUGUAGGCGGUUUGUCGCGUCUGCCGUGAAAGCCCAGGGCUUAACCCUGGGUCUGCGGUGGGUACGGGCAGACUAGAGUGUGGUAGGGGAGACUGGAAUUCCUGAUGUAGCGGUGAAAUGCGCAGAUAUCAGGAGGAACACCGAUGGCGAAGGCAGGUCUCUGGGCCACUACUGACGCUGAGAAGCGAAAGCAUGGGGAGCAAACAGG
rnacentral:rRNA from 1 species